AUUGAACGCUGGCGGCAGGCCUAACACAUGCAAGUCGAACGAGUGGCGGACGGGUGAGUAAUGUCUGGGAAACUGCCUGAUGGAGGGGGAUAACUACUGGAAACGGUAGCUAAUACCGCAUACCAUCGGAUGUGCCCAGACGGUAUUAGCUAGUAGGGGGGGUAAAGGCUCACCUAGGCGACGAUCCCUAGCUGGCCUGAGAGGAUGACCAGCCACACUGGAACUGAGACACGGUCCAUACUCCUACGGGAGGCAGCAGUGGGGAAUAUUGCACAAUGGGCGAAAGCCUGAUGCAGCCAUGCCGCGUGUGGGAAGAAGGCCUUCGGGUUGUAAAGCACUUUCAGCGAGGAGGCGUUACUCGCAGAAGAAGCACCGGCUAACUCCGUGCCAGCCGCCGCGGUAAUUC
rnacentral:rRNA from 1 species